UGGGGAAUAUUGCACAAUGGAGGGAACUCUGAUGCAGCGACGCCGCGUGAACGAAGAAGGCUUUCGAGUCGUAAAGUUCUUUUAUAUGGGAAGAUAAUGACGGUACCAUAAGAAAAAGCCCCGGCUAACUACGUGCCAGCAGCCGCGGUAAUACGUAGGGGGCUAGCGUUGUCCGGAAUCACUGGGCGUAAAGGGUUCGCAGGCGGAAAUGCAAGUCAGGUGUAAAAGGCAGUAGCUUAACUACUGUAAGCAUUUGAAACUGCAUAUCUUGAGAAGAGUAGAGGUAAGUGGAAUUUUUAGUAUAGCGGUGAAAUGAGUAGAUAUUAAAAAGAAUACCGGUGGCGAAGGCGGCUUACUGGGCUCAUUCUGACGCUGGGGAACGAAAGCGUGGGUAGCAAACAGG
rnacentral:rRNA from 1 species